CAUAGCGGUCUAUGUAGACUCCCACAACAUCGUGGGAUUCUCCAUAAAUGCACCCAAUUCACUGCAACCAUUACUUGUAACGGCUGUUAGGAAUGACCAUUGGACUGACCCUUGAGUGUAAGAAAGUCAGGUGUUGAAGAAAUACAGAGAGAAAUGUCAAAGUGAGUAUUUCAUAAAGAUUCGAUCUUGAUGAAAUACUAAUUUUUCAGGUGUUGUUGACAGUGACUGUUUAGUUGUCAAUUUCAAC